AUUUUCCGUGAAUCAUCGAAUCUUUGAACGCACCUUGCGCUCCUCGGUAUUCCGAGGAGCAUGCCUGUUUGAGUGUCAUCGAAAUCUCAAAUCCCGGUCCGGGGGUUUGGACUUUGGGAGUCUGCCGGCGACCCGACCUCGGGACGUCGGCUCUCCUCAAAUGCAUUAGCGGUGGGCGCGAGCCUUUGCACGGCACGGCCUGUUUUCGACGUCGUAGUGAUCGUCGCGGGCUGGAAGUGCUCGGAUCGACAUGUCUCAUGCUUCCAAGCUAGUAUAAAUGAUUAAGGCUUGACCUCAAAUCAGGCAGGACUACCCGCUGAACUUAAGCAUAUCAAUAAGCGGAGGAAAAGAAACUAACAAGGAUUCCCCUAGUAACUGCGAGUGAACCGGGAAAAGCUCAAAUUUUGAAUCCGGCGGUCUCCGGCCGCCCGAGUUGUAAUCUAGAGAAGCGUCUUCCGCGCUGGAC
rnacentral:sRNA from 1 species